UUGCAGCCCGGCUUGAGCGGAGCUCCUUUUUACGCAACGCAGUGAAGUGAAAAGAGCGUGAGCGGAAGACGGAAAAAGC
rnacentral:misc_RNA from 1 species